rfam:Pteropus alecto contig25289, whole genome shotgun sequence.
GUGUUGUAUGGAAUAAAAGAAUAUUGGCAUUCUCAUAAUAGAGAUGGGAAAUGUCUUAGUGAUCCGGGUACAUGGAUGUGGUUAAGGAGCUACCACCUGCUUUGUGGCUUUGAACUGAGCCUGGAA